rnacentral:rRNA from 1 species
AACGAACGCUGGCGGCAUGCCUAACACAUGCAAGUCGAACGAGACCUUCGGGUCUAGUGGCGCACGGGUGCGUAACGCGUGGGAACCUGCCCUUAGGUUCGGAAUAACUCCCCGAAAGGGGUGCUAAUACCGGAUAAUGUCUUCGGACCAAAGAUUUAUCGCCUUUGGAUGGGCCCGCGUUGGAUUAGCUAGUUGGUAGGGUAAAAGCCUACCAAGGCGACGAUCCAUAGCUGGUCUGAGAGGAAGAUCAGCCACACUGGGACUGAGACACGGCCCAGACUCCUACGGGAGGCAGCAGUGGGGAAUAUUGGACAAUGGGCGAAAGCCUGAUGCAGCAAUGCCGCGUGAGUGAUGAAGGCCUUAGGGUUGUAAAGCUCUUUUACCCGGGAUGAUAAUGACAGUACCGGGAGAAUAAGCACCGGCUAACUCCGUG